CUCUCUCUCUCUCUCUCUCUCUCUCCCCCUCUGUUUCGGCAUUUUGAUUUCCCGGGAAAGUUUGAAUCUCGGUCGUUUCUUCAGAAACAUUGGUUUGCUGUUCUCCUAGUCAUGUGCCACAACAACGAAUUUUUUGAUCAUUUUCUAUGCUUACCACAUCAAUUGAUGAUCGAUUCUGCUAAUUCAUUUCAACAUCUGUAUGUUUAAUUCAUGCAUCUGAACUGUAUUACAUUGUUUACGUGAACAAAUUAGAGAUUAAGAGAAUUAUAAUUACUUGUAAUUUGAUAAAUUAACCGCUAACUCUGUUUUUUCUUCGGUUAAUUGUCCCUUGUUUUAAAUCCCUUAGCUUUCCUUGAAAAAUUGUUGAACUGGCAAAAAGGAAUCAUCCGGAACUUGUAAAAAACUCCGCUGAACCAAAAGACGUUUAAGAAGUUGAAGUUAUCAGAUGUAUUGACUCAAAUAAUUGCAUGGAAGCGGAGGUCUCUGCAGUAGUAGACGAUAAUAUUAGAGAACUCCCUAAUCACAUGGCUCAAGACACUGCAAGCGCUAAACCAAAGUCCCCAGGCAAGUCACCACCUCUAUCAAGGAGUUCAGCGUUAAUGAAACCCACGGCAAGUCAGCUGGCCAAGCAAAAUAACUGCCGAGAAGUUCACUCCAACCGGUUACAAGGAGGUUGCUGAACAGCUCAAGCAUCAACCUCUCUGGUUACACAAGGUGUCGAAAAAGGUAGCAUACAUUUUACGAAAACAAGGUUAUGUGCUUUUGACCGUGAAAAGAACAUUUUAGUUUCAUUCGAAAUAAGAGAAAAAUAGUUUACAUUGAUGGAAAAGCUCGAAGUUGUAGAGUUCAUGAUCUUUUGUGGGAACUGCUCCACUACAAAUUCGUGAUGGAUUGAUGGCAGCUGCAAGCAUCUUUCUCUCUCCCUUUAAAUUCUUUCUCGAUUGAUAUUUUUAGUAACAGAUUCUCAUUGAUUCAAUCAGUGUGUUUGGCAUUGUUUGACUGGGUGCUACACUACCCACUUUGUACGAACA